GCAGUAGCCGCGGUAAUACGUAGGGUGCAAGCGUUAAUCGGAAUUACUGGGCGUAAAGCGUGCGCAGGCGGUUAUAUAAGACAGAUGUGAAAUCCCCGGGCUCAACCUGGGAACUGCAUUUGUGACUGUAUAGCUAGAGUACGGCAGAGGGGGAUGGAAUUCCGCGUGUAGCAGUGAAAUGCGUAGAUAUGCGGAGGAACACCGAUGGCGAAGGCAAUCCCCUGGGCCUGUACUGACGCUCAUGCACGAAAGCGUGGGGAGCAAACAGGAUUAGAUACCCGAGUAGUCCCUGUCUCUUAUAU
rnacentral:rRNA from 1 species